AACACACUGGCGCACACGUUCGAUGAAGAAAGAGCCACGGCUUCACCUCGCCCGUGGCACUCACAGGCCAGUGGAUCAAAAGGAGCAGAGCAGGCGGUACCGAUCACUCCACGGCGCGUCAAUGCCAUGGCCUCGGCCCAGCCCCUCCGCGCCCUCAACCUCAGGGCGUUCGACGAGACGAGGGCGGGCGUCAAGGGCCUGGUCGACGCCGGCGUCACCGCCGUCCCGUCCAUCUUCCACCACCCGCCGGAGACCCUGCCCCACGGCGCGCAUCGCCCUCAUCGCUUCACCGUGCCGGUCAUCAACCUGUCACCCGCCCUGCAGGGAACCGCGCGGGCCGCGGCGGUCGCGGAGGUGAGGGCGGCCGCGGAGACGUUCGGCUUCUUCCAGGUGGUGGGCCACGGCGUGCCGGAGGCGGCCACGUCGGCGAUGCUCGCGGCGGUGCGGGGCUUCAUCGAGGAGCCCGUGGAGGCCAAGGCGCCGUACUACACGCGGGACACCGGCCGGCGCGUGAGAUACCAGAGCAACCUCGACCUGUUCCAGUCGACGGCGGCCAACUGGCGCGACACGCUCUUCGUGGAGAUGCUGCCGGAGCCGCCGGCGCCCGAGGAGCUCCCGGCGGCGUGCAGGCGCGUCGCGCCGGAGUACGCGCGGCUGGUGCAGCGGCGGCUGGGCCGCGCGCUGCUGGGGCUGCUGUCGGAGGCGCUGGGCCUCCGCCCCGGCCACCUGGAGGAGGAGCACGGGUGCCUGGAGGGGCUCAGCCUCGCCUGCCACUACUACCCGGCCUGCCCGGAGCCGCACCUCACCCUCGGCACCCCGCGGCACACCGACGCCAGCUUCCUCACCGUGCUCCUCCAGGACGCCGUCGGCGGCCUCCAGGUGCUCGUCGACCUCGAGGGCGCCCCGGCGUGGGUGGACGUGCCGCCGGUGGCGGGGGCGCUGGUGGUGAACGUCGGCGACUUCCUGCAGCUCAUGUCCAACGACAGGUUCAAGAGCGUGGAGCACCGCGUGGUGUCCAACGCCGUGGGGCCACGGGUCUCGGUGGCGUGCUUCUUCCGGACGGACCGCGCCGCCGCGCCAACGACGGUGCUGGCGCCGAUCGUCGCCGACGGCGACGAGCCGCGGUACAGGAGCACGACGGUGGAGGAGGUGGUCCGGCAGUACUACAAGGUCAAGGGCCUCGCCGGCACCUCUGCACUCCAGCACUUCAGGCUCUGAAUCUCAUGACUGAAUCCUCCAAACUUGUAUAUUCACUCUGCUAUGUCUGCUCUGCACCGUCCUCCGGCCAUGCCUUCUGAAUUUUGAUUGAUGCACAAAGCCAAAUAGUAACAAGUUGAGUGCUCCAUUCAAAAGCAAAACAAAACAAAACAAAACAUUGGGGUCGGUAUGCUUAACUGAGCCUCGUUUCCAAGCGAUCGGCCAGAAAGAGCAGAGCAAAAGUAACAAGCAUGAAUUCAGAGUUUUAAAAUUCCAAACGCUUUGUGCCCAUCAUCACUUCCUCUAUGGGCACUCACACAGCCACACUGCCUUUCUAUUCUCUAGACUAGAGGAGCCUUUCGGCAAAAGUUGAGCAGUCUGCAGACUAGUUUACCCUGUCUGAUGAGCAACUGGCUGUUGAUUACAUACUGAGAGAGAUUCUUAAGUUCAUCAAUUCGGGGGACCGUAUGUCGAAUAGCAUCGCAAAAGUGCAGCAUUUGAUCAAAGUGUACCUUUCUCUAGGGUUAUCGGAGUGUGCUUUCGAAAGCCGAUGUUGAUCCAUGAUGAAUAUUCUUGAAGAGAUCGAUGGCAUGUCCUUGACGAGGCAUCAUCAUCUUCAUGCAUGUGCUCUGUUUGGGCUGUCCAGUCUCCACCAGGGUUCACCUUUUCGGUCAAAUUUUGGCUGAAAUUCAAC
rnacentral:rRNA from 1 species